rnacentral:lncRNA from 1 species
UUUAUUUUCAGUUUAUUAAUGUUAAAUAUUUGAGUCUUCUCUAAAAUAUAUUAUUCUUAUUUACAUGAUUGUUAUAUCUUCAUAAAUCUCUUCGGUCUGUUGAUUUGGUUUGGCCAACUAGAUUGAUCUAUCUUCACUAGGAGGUGUGCGUUGUAGUGGGUUCAAUCUGGCGGUACUCUAUAUCUCAGUGACAGAAAGGGAUAAGACACGUCUUUGUAUUAUUGCCACUAAGGAUAAAACG